rnacentral:rRNA from 1 species
UGGGCAACCUGCCCCUCUCUCUGGGAUAACCCCGGGAAACCGGAGCUAAUACCGGAUACUCCGGCUGGAUCGCAUGGUCCGGCCGGGAAAGGUCCGCCGGAGAGGGAUGGGCCCGCGGCCUAUCAGCUUGUUGGUGGGGUCAUGGCUCACCAAGGCGACGACGGGUAGCUGGUCUGAGAGGACGACCAGCCCACACGUGGAACUGAGAGUACCGGUCCAGACCUCCGUACGGGAGCA